GAGCGAAAUUUAGUAGCGAAGUAGCUGAUUUCACACUGUCAAGAAAAGUCUCUAUCGAGGUUAAAGGUACCCGUACCGCAAACCGACACAGGUGGGUGAGGAGAGGAUCCUAAGGCCAGCGAGAGAACUGUUGUUAAGGAACUCGGCAAAAUGACCCCGUAACUUAGGGAUAAGGGGUGCCACCAUCAGGUGGCCGCAGAGAAUAGGCCC
rnacentral:rRNA from 1 species